rnacentral:rRNA from 1 species
UGGGGAAUAUUGCACAAUGGGCGAAAGCCUGAUGCAGCGACGCCGCGUGGGGGAUGACGGCCUUCGGGUUGUAAACCCCUUUCAGCAGGGAAGAAGCGCAAGUGACGGUACCUGCAGAAGAAGCGCCGGCUAACUACGUGCCAGCAGCCGCGGUAAUACAGAGGGUGCAAGAGUUAAUCGGAAUUACUGGACGUAAAGCGCGCGUAGGUGGUUUGUUAAGUCGGAUGUGAAAGCCCUGGGCUCAACCUGGGAAUUGCAUUUAGAACUGGCAGGCUAGAGUUUUGGAGAGGGGAGUGGAAUUCCAGGUGUAGCGGUGAAAUGCGUAGAUAUCUGGAGGAACAUCAGUGGCGGAGGCGACUCCCUGGUCAGUAACUGACGCUCCUGUGCGAAAGUGUGGGUAGCGAACAGGAUUAGAUACCC